rnacentral:rRNA from 1 species
CAUGAGUGGCGGACGGGUGAGUAACGCGUGGGCAACCUCGGCCUGUACAGGGGGAUAACACUUAGAAAUAGGUGCUAAUACCGCAUAACGGGGGAAGCCGCAUGGCUUUUCCCUGAAAACUCCGGUGGUACAGGAUGGGCCCGCGUCUGAUUAGCCAGUUGGCAGGGUAACGGCCUACCAAAGCGACGAUCAGUAGCCGGCCCGAGAGGGCGGACGGCCACACUGGGACUGAGACACGGCCCAGACUCCUACGGAAGGCAGCAG